GAUGAACGCUGGCGGCAUGCUUUACACAUGCAAGUCGGACGGGAAGUGGUGUUUCCAGUGGCGGACGGGUGGGUAACGCGUAAGAACCUGCCCUUGGGAGGGGAACAACAGCUGGAAACGGCUGCUAAUACCCCGUAGGCUGAGGAGCGAAAGGAGGAAUCCGCCCAAGGAGGGGCUCGCGUCUGAUUAGCUAGUUGGUGAGGUAAUAGCUUACCAAGGCCGUGAUCAGUAGCUGGUCCGAGAGGAUGAUCAGCCACACUGGGACUGAGACAAGGCCCAGACUCCUACGGGAGGCAGCAGUGGGGAAUUUUCCGCAAUGGGCGAAAGCCUGACGGAGCAAUGCCGCGUGGAGGUAAAAGGCCUACGGGUCAUGAACUUCUUUUCCUGGAGAAGAAACAAUGACGGUAUCUGGGGAAUAAGCAUCGGCUAACUCUGUG
rnacentral:rRNA from 1 species